UACUAGUGUUGGUUUGCGACUUGAUCCUAAGGCCAAGCCCCCUCGCGUGACGACCACGCUGGCCACCGGGCAAAAUGCGCAUCACCUCUUGCUUGUCUAGAUCAGCCCGGACGUUGGCAUGUGUAUCGUAUUUUUUCGGGUUCCGAGAUCAAGAAUCGAUGUCCCUUUGUUGGUUGGUUUUCCGAGAAUCCUUGACCCUUAUGACGCUGGCCACCGGGCAAAAUGCGCCUCACUUGCUGGCACGUCUAGAUCAGCCCGGGCGUAGGCAUGUGUAUCGUAUUUUGUCGGGUUCCGAGAUCAAGAAUCGAUGUCCCUUUGUUGGUUGGUUUUCCGAGAAUCCUUGACCCUUAAUGACGCUGGCCACCCGGCAAAAUGCGCCUCACUUGCUAGCACGUCUAGAUCAGCCCGGGCGUAGGCAUGUGUAUCGUAUUUUGUCGGGUUUCGAGAUCAAGAAUCGAUGUCCCUUUGUUGGUUGGUUUUCCGGGAAUCCUUGACCCUUGAUUUGUUACUUUCGCAUCGUUCGGUGCAUUCUGGGGGAUGUUUUGGCUUUUGGUGGCUUACUUGGCCUUUUGGCUGGGUUUGUUGCUAUCGGUCGGGCGGCUUUCGGGAAUGUCGACCGUGGAGGUGCAUGAGUGGUGUUUGGUUUGUUACGUGUGGAUGGCUGUUUGCUUGCGCAACAACGUUCACGCUGCAUACCUCUUCAGUUUUGCGGCAAGGCUUGGUUUGGCUUGUGCAUAUUGUGGGUUUCCUGUGUUGCAUACCUAGUUGAAGGAAAAGUGUGGGUUUUACGAUUUUCAUUUUCGUCUUGUGUCGUUCUUUCGGCAUGGGAUGAGCAAUGAAGCGAUCUUUAUGAUCCAUCGUGCUGUUGUGUUUGCAACAAUGAUGUGGCCUAUGAAGCAUCGUUUGGUCUCUUGUAUACGGAAGCUCAUUUUGGCUUGGGUCUUUAUAAGAUCUUCGUUACGCCCUUGUUAAGCGUUCUCGCUUCUCCUAAACGAUUG
rnacentral:misc_RNA from 1 species